rnacentral:sRNA from 1 species
UUCCGUCACGCAUAUGUCAGCUUCUGCUCGCCUGGCAGGCGUUUGUCACAGGGCGUGAAAAAUUCUCACGCUCACAAUUAUUCGUUUGGAUCGCACGAUCCAACCAAGACAACAACAAAUCGAGGAUCUUAUUAAGUAAUUCAGCGUUCCCACGCAAACGUCAAGAUGCAUUGCAAGAUGCUGGCAGCGAACCUAUUUUUUGUUGAAAAAGAUCCUAAUCUGCAGGAGGUCCCCUUGUAAUUCUUUUUUUUUUCAUAGCAUUGUUCUCAAGCGUCUCAUGCUUGCUUUCGUUUUUCUGCACGCCUGCUAAAUUAUCAAGAUUGAAAUUUCUCAAAAAAAUGAUAGAAACCGUUGAUCCUGUUAUUGAGCCAUAAUAAUUAUAAAUAAUGAAGAUGUCGCAUAGACGUUUCCAGUAACUACCAAGACGGAGAGCCACAUGCAUGGAGGGUUGAUGUCUGCGCUUGCCUUCUUAAGAACACACAAAAGAGACAACCGAGGAAACCUUAGCAAGACAGUAGACAUUUUGGUGGUGGUUCUCUAACUUACUUCAGAAACAGAUGUUCAAAUUAGGUUGCAUGACAUGGACCAUAAAUUAUUUUAACCAGUUGUAUACCCUCACAUUAUCUGUGCUGUUCUGCUUGCCUGCCUCUGUUCUUAUGCUGCAAUGCACGAAGAAUCUUAAUCGCCCGAGUAGAUCAUAGACAACAGAACACUUUUUAUAAGAUAUUUAAUACUUAAACUUCAUCUCCAAGCAACUCAGCUUACUAUCCAAUCCAUAAAAAGG